UACGUAGGGGGCGAGCGUUGUCCGGAAUUAUUGGGCGUAAAGCGCGCGCAGGCGGUUCUUUAAGUCCGGUGUUUAAGCCCGGGGCUCAACCUCGGGACGCACGGGAAACUGGGGGACUGGAGUGCAGGAGAGGGAAGCGGAAUUCCACGUGUAGCGGUGAAAUGCGUAGAGAUCCGGAGGAACACCAGUGGCGAAAGCGGCCACCUGGACUGCACCUGACGCUGAAACGCGAAAGCUAGGGGAGCGAACGGG
rnacentral:rRNA from 1 species